rnacentral:rRNA from 1 species
UACGGAGGGUGCAAGCGUUGUCCGGAUUUAUUGGGUUUAAAGGGUGCGUAGGCGGCCCGUUAAGUCAGCGGUGAAAUCCCAGGGCUCAACCCUGGAACUGCCGUUGAUACUGGCGGGCUUGAGUUCGGUCGAGGCGGGCGGAACUGGUGGUGUAGCGGUGAAAUGCUUAGAUACCCUCAAGAACACCGAUUGCGUAGGCAGCUAACUAGGCCAUAACUGACGCUGAGGCACGAAAGCGUGGGGAGCGAACAGG